rnacentral:rRNA from 1 species
ACUCCUGCGGGAGGCAGCAGUGGGGAAUAUUGGACAAUGGGCGCAAGCCUGAUCCAGCCAUGCCGCGUGAGUGAUGAAGGCCCUAGGGUUGUAAAGCUCUUUCACCGGUGAAGAUAAUGACGGUAACCGGAGAAGAAGCCCCGGCUAACUUCGUGCCAGCAGCCGCGGUAAUACGAAGGGGGCUAGCGUUGUUCGGAUUUACUGGGCGUAAAGCGCACGUAGGCGGACUAUUAAGUCAGGGGUGAAAUCCCGGGGCUCAACCCCGGAACUGCCUUUGAUACUGGUAGUCUUGAGUUCGAGAGAGGUGAGUGGAAUUCCGAGUGUAGAGGUGAAAUUCGUAGAUAUUCGGAGGAACACCAGUGGCGAAGGCGGCUCACUGGCUCGAUACUGACGCUGAGGUGCGAAAGCGUGGGGAGCAAACAGGAUGAGAUACCCCGGUAGUCCCA